AUUGAACGCUGGCGGCAGGCUUAACACAUGCAAGUCGAGCGGAUGAAGCCAGCUUGCUCCUGGAUUUAGCGGCGGACGGGUGAGUAAUGCCUAGGAAACUGCCUGGUAGUGCGGGAUAACGCCUGGAAAAGGGCGCCAAUACCGCAUACGUACUGCGCGUGAAAGUGGGGGAUCUUCGGACCUCACGCUAUCAGAUGAGCAUAGGUCGGAUUUGCUAGUUGGUGGGGUAAAGGCCUACCAAGGCGACGAUCCGUAACUCGUCCGGGAGGAUGGUCGGUCACACGAGAGCUGGACCGCGGACCAUGCGCCUGCGAGAGGGAGCAGACGGGAAUGGUAGGCAGUAGGGGGAAACCUGGUCCAGCGGGGCCGCGUGUGUUGAGGAGGUCUUCGGAUUGUGAAGCACGUUAAGUGGUGGGAAAGGGCAGUAAGUUAAUACCAUGCUGUUUUGACGUUACCAGCAGAAUAAGCACCGGCUAACUUCGUG
rnacentral:rRNA from 1 species